rnacentral:rRNA from 1 species
GAUGAACGCUGGCGGCGUGCCUAAUACAUGCAAGUCGAGCGAACAGACGAGGAGCUUGCUCCUCUGACGUUAGCGGCGGACGGGUGAGUAACACGUGGAUAACCUACCUAUAAGACUGGGAUAACUUCGGGAAACCGGAGCUAAUACCGGAUAAUAUAUUGAACCGCAUGGUUCACUAGUGAAAGACGGUUUUGCUGUUACUUAUAGAUGGAUCCGCGCCGCAUUAGCUAGUUGGUAAGGUAACGGCCUACCAAGGCAACGAUGCGUAGCCGACCUGAGAGGGUGAUCAGCCACACUGGAACUGAGACACGGCCCAGACUCCUACGGGAGGCAGCAGUAGGGAAUCUUCCGCAAUGGGCGAAAGCCUGACGGAGCAACGCCGCGUGAGUGAUGAAGGUCUUCGGAUCGUAAAACUCUGUUAUUAGGGAAGAACAAAUGUGUAAGUAACUAUGCACGUCUUGACGGUACCUAAUCAGAAAGCCACGGCUAACUACGUG